rnacentral:rRNA from 1 species
CUACGGGAGGCACCAGUAAGGAAUAUUGCGCAAUGGAGGCAACUCUGACGCAGCCAUGCCGCGUGCAGGAAGAAGGCCUUAUGGGUCGUAAACUGCUUUUAUUUAGGAAUAAACCUCCGAACGUGUUCGGGGCUGACGGUACUAAACGAAUAAGCACCGGCUAACUCCGUGCCAGCAGCCGCGGUAAUACGGAGGGUGCAAGCGUUAUCCGGAUUAUUGGGUUUAAAGGGUGCGCAGGCGGGCUAUUAAGUCAGUGGUGAAAUCCCGGGGCUCAACUCCGGAACUGCCAUUGAUACUGGUAGCCUUGAGUAUGGAUGAAGUGGGCGGAAUGUAGCAUGUAGCGGUGAAAUGCAUAGAUAUGCUACAGAACACCAAUCGCGAAGGCAGCUCACUAAGCCAAAACUGACGCUCAUGGACGAAAGCGUGGGGAUCAAACAGGAUUAGAUACCCCAGUAGUC